UGCAUAUCAAAUAAGCGGAGGAAAAGAAACUAACAAGGAUUCCCCUAGUAGCGGCGAGCGAAGCGGGAAAAGCUCAAAUUUGUAAUCUGGCGCUUUCGGCGUCCGAGUUGUAAUCUCGAGAAGUGUUUUCCGCGUCAGACCGCACACAAGUCUCCUGGAACGGAGCGUCACAGUGGUGAGAACCCAGUACACGGUGCGGAUGCCUGAUGCUUUGUGAUACACUUUCGAAGAGUCGAGUUGUUUGGGAAUGCAGCUCAAAUUGGGUGGUAAAUUCCAUCUAAAGCUAAAUAUUGGCGAGAGACCGAUAGCGAACAAGUACCGUGAGGGAAAGAUGAAAAGCACUUUGGAAAGAGAGUUAACAGUACGUGAAAUUGUUGGAAGGGAAACGCUUGAAGUCAGACUUGCUAUUCGGAGCUUGCUUCGAUUCGCAGGCCCGCAUCAGUUUUCCGGGGCGGAAAAUCGUAAGGAGAAGGUAGCAGUUUCGGCUGUGUUAUAGCUCUUUACUGGAUUCGUCCUGGGGGACUGAGGAACGCAGCGUGCUUUUUGCAUGGGCUUCGGCCCAUCCACGCUUAGGAUGCGGGUGGAAUGGCUUUAAACGACCCGUCUUG
rnacentral:rRNA from 1 species